rnacentral:rRNA from 1 species
GACGAACGCUGGCGGCGUGCCUAACACAUGCAAGUCGAGCGGAGAUUGCAGCAAUGUAAUCUUAGCGGCGGACGGGUGAGUAACGCGUGGGCAACCUGCCUUUUACAGGGGGAUAACACAGGGAAACUUGUGCUAAUACCGCAUAACAUCAUGAAGGGACAUCCCUUUAUGAUCAAAGGAGCAAUCCGGUGAAAGAUGGGCCCGCGUCCGAUUAGCUAGUUGGUGGUGUAACGGACCACCAAGGCGACGAUCGGUAGCCGAACUGAGAGGUUGAUCGGCCACAUUGGGACUGAGACACGGCCCAGACUCCUACGGGAGGCAGCAGUGGGGAAUAUUGCACAAUGGGGGAAACCCUGAUGCAGCAACGCCGCGUGAAGGAUGAAGGUUUUCGGAUUGUAAACUUCUUUAGUCGGGGACGAAAAAAUGACGGUACCCGAAGAAUAAGCCACGGCUAACUACGUG